rnacentral:rRNA from 1 species
GACGUAGGGCGCGAGCGUUGUCCGGAUUUAUUGGGCGUAAAGAGCUCGUAGGCGGCUUGUCGCGUCGGAUGUGAAAGCCCGGGGCUUAACUCCGGGUCUGCAUUCGAUACGGGCAGGCUAGAGUGUGGUAGGGGAGAUCGGAAUUCCUGGUGUAGCGGUGAAAUGCGCAGAUAUCAGGAGGAACACCGAUGGCGAAGGCAGCCCCCCUGGGAUAACACUGACGCUCAUGCACGAAAGCGUGGGGAGCAAACAGG